rnacentral:rRNA from 1 species
UACGAAGGGGGCUAGCGUUGCUCGGAAUCACUGGGCGUAAAGCGCACGUAGGCGGAUUGUUAAGUCAGGGGGUGAAAUCCUGGAGCUCAACUCCAGAACUGCCUUUGAUACUGGCGAUCUCGAGUCCGGGAGAGGUGAGUGGAACUGCGAGUGUAGAGGUGAAAUUCGUAGAUAUUCGCAAGACACCAGUGGCGAAGGCGGCUCACUGGCCCGGUACUGACGCUGACGGUGCGAAAGCGUGGGAGCAACAGGG